ACGGAGGAUGCAAGCGUUAUCCGGAUUUAUUGGGUUUAAAGGGUGCGUAGGCGGCUUUUUAAGUCAGUGGUGAAAUCCUGUCGCUCAACGAUAGAAUUGCCAUUGAUACUGACAAGCUUGAGUACAAUUGAGGUAAGCGGAAUGUGUAGUGUAGCGGUGAAAUGCUUAGAUAUUACACAGAACACCAAUUGCGAAGGCAGCUUACUAAACUGUUACUGACGCUGAUGCACGAAAGCGUGGGGAGCGAACAGGAUUAGAUACCCUGGUAGUCCACGCCGUAAACGAUGAUCACUCGCUGUAUGCGAUACACAGUAUGCGGCCAAGCGAAAGCAUUAAGUGAUCCACCUGGGGAGUACGAUCGCAAGGUUG
rnacentral:rRNA from 1 species